ACCAAUCAGAGUGGGACAUGACAGCACGGUUAUCUAGGUAAAAAUGUAUAUAAGCUGUGUUUAGUAGUGAAUAAACGCCAUUUGCCUCACUUACUCCUGGGGUCUGGGUGAGCAUCUGGCCCCGACCUGGUAAAGGGUCGGUUUCGCCCAGCAGUAAGCCCUACAUGUGGACAGAGGACGAACACCGGACGAGCGAACGGAGACUACAUGCAACAAGUGGUGACCCCGACGUGAUCUGUCUGCUGAGGGUGGCUGCCCGGCGUGCCCGUGACGCGGAGAAGAGCCUGUGAGGUGGCGGCAGGUCGCAUACGUAACAAUGGACCAAGUCAUUAAGGUGGGACUUGCUCACCUCGGUGCUAUGCCAGCGCGCCAUGGCCAGUCAGAAGGCUACGGAACUUAAAACGUGGGGACUGAUAUUAGGAGCCCUUAAAGCGGCCAGAGUUGAGGGAAAGGUAUUGGUGGAGGCUCGAUACCCUUUGGGUCUCAGCGGAGGAGGUGAGACACAGGACCCGGUCGGGUCCGAUGGGGGUUCGGGAGCAGUUUCUUGCAGGGGCCGAGAGGAGACGGAGCCGCCAAUGACCGUUGGCGGGAUGGCGCCGGCUGAGCCGACCGCGCUCAGUUCAAAAGAAGACAAACAACAAGAGAGUGAAAGUUCGUUGUCUCGUCCCCCUCCCCCGUAUCCAAACCCCUCAGGCGGAACGUUGUAUCCUUUAUCAGAAUUACGUCAGUGUUACCUGACUCAAGGGGGCGGAGGAAGCUGUGAUCUACACGGGCAGGAUCAACUUAGUGCCCACAUGGGGAGGGACCAGACAAAAGGUCCGUCCAAUGCGGACAGGGGGCAUAGCCUACUGUCUCUGGUCACUCCCAGGGGCGGUAGUGCGAGUGAUAGUGUAGAAGAGAAAGAAGGGACUGGCUUUGAGUGCAGGGGGAGGGAUCAAAUGACGGACUGGAAUGGGAUUAGAUCGGAGGCUUUGGGAAAGGGUAUAGUUCCAGAGGCAUUCCGGGUGAUUGUGAGUGAUCGUGGUCCCGAAUGGGUGCCGCCUGACCCCGGGGGUGUUACGCGCCUGGUGGAAUUUAUGGAUAAAAGAGGCCUGAAAUCGCCUCUGACAUUAAAUGCACUACAAACUUUGGCUGCACUGGGGCCUCUCUUCCCCCGUGACAUCACAAACUUAAUGCGUACGAUGCUCAGGCUGGUUCAAUAUACGUUAUGGGAGACGGACUGGGUGGCCGAGUUGGGGGGCCGUGCCGGGGCGACAGGGGUCGGCCCGCGCCGCUCCCUGCAUGGGACCGGAAUACAGCGGCUUUCAGGGAAGGCCGUGGGAGUGGCUUCGCCCCAGGGCCAGCUAGCGAGACUAAGGCCAGGGGAGCUAAUAGCAGCCACAGAUGCAGUGGUGGAAGCGUUUAAUAAACUUGUGCAUAAGGCCGAACCACCUACUCCGUGCACAGAUAUUACCCAGGGCCCGAAUGAAUCCUUUCAAAGCUUUACAGACAGGCUUUUAGCUGCUGCAGAGGGGUCUGAUCUCCUGGUACCGGCCCAAGGGCCAGUGAUCAUUGACUGCUUGCAGCAGAAAUCGCAUGACAAUGUUAAGGCAUUGCUGCGAGCCGGCCGAAGUACGCUUAAUACCUCGGGAGAAGUUAUUCAGUAUGUCUUAGAUAAGCUCAAGGUGGCUCAUUUAACUAAUGAAAGGCUAGUCACAGCUAUUGUCGUAGCUGUUGGCCUGCGACAGCAAAGAUCGCUGCAGCAGCAAGGGCUGUGUUUCCGAUACGGCCAGUAUGGCCAUGUUAGAGCACAAUGCCCCUGUGGGGGAGGCCAGUCAGGGCCUCCUGAUCACAGGAAGGGCUUGCUAAAGGGUAUCCGUGGUCGGGUAUGCAGCAGUUAAACAUCAUGAAUCUGGGAAAUUCUGUGGGUACCAUCGCGAAAAGUAAUACCAGAUAUAAGUAGCAUAUCUGCAAAAACUGAGUCUAGGUGCGAGUUUUCUACAGAAAUUCUUCGUUGGCAGACCGAAGCCAACUCCAGAACAACUGAGGGACAGACGAUGGGAUCAAGAACCACUCGUCAAGAGGAGCACUACACCUGCAACGCUGACACUUCCAAUGUUGCUGAUAUUUAUGGUGUCCAUGGCGAUUACAGAGUGUCACAAACAACUACAAUGGACACAAGAACAUAUGCAGAAAAUUAAAGAAGAGCGUGAUCCCUUUGGAAGCUGGCUGGACGGACUGUUUGGGGGAACGGGUUCAUGGUUAAAGCAAUUGCUUAAAGCUCUCGCAGUAGGAUUUGCAAUCUUUGUGUGUAUUCUAAUCUGUCUUCCAUGCUUUGUAGGAUGCUUGCAGAACUGCCUUCAACGAAUGAUGGACAAGACUUUUGACUAUCACAUUGAGUAUCAUAGAUUGCGUGAAAAAUUAUAGAGGGGUUUAGGUUGUUGCGUUCGUGCUGUAACGGGGCAAGGCUUGGCCGAGCACGGAAAAGAAUUCCCUGUUGCUCUGAUGAUUGCUUAAGAACUGUAGUGGAAAAUAGUAGGAAUAGUGUGCUGAAAUAUAUUUAGGAUUAGGCGUUUUGCGCUGCUUCGCGAUGUACGGGUUAGGUGUGUGUGUAAGUAGUAUUUAGCUUAGGGAGGGGGAGAUGUUGUAGUAGGCGUCUUGCGGGGGCACGGGAUGUACGGGACAGGCCUCUCCCUAAACAUAGAGAGAUAGUGCUAUCGUGCUGACCUUGUUGCAGAGAAAACAGGAGAAGAAGAAGGAUGAUAAAAGAAUGUGGAAACAAGGCACAAUGUUAUCUGAUGUGAACCAAUCAGAGUGGGACAUGACAGCACGGUUAUCU
ensembl:lncRNA